GUGUAUGAAAAAGGAACAAAAUUUGAAAGAUUAAAGCAAUUCAGAAUACAUAAGAAUAUGACUGCAGACACUGUAAUGCCACUUCCUUUUUACUGCCAGAGAGACUCUCCUCAGGUCAUUCUUCUCUCUCGAGCAGUAAGAGAACUGACAUGACCAGCUCUCUCAUCAGAUUCGCUGUCACACUGCUAUGGGCUACUGUCCUUUGCCUUGAAGUCCGGCAGUCUCCCUCGCUGCUGUGGCUGACGGAAGGCCUGGACGCGUCCGCGGAGAUGCGGUGCGAGCACACGGACGUCAGCCACUAUCAGAUGUACUGGUACCGUCAGCUCCUGGGACGGGGCCUCCAGCUGGUGGUGCUGUCGGACACCCUCAACGCGCCCGACUUCGGGGAGUUCGGCGGGGGGAAGUACGGCGUGGCCAAAUCCGUCGCCCAGGAGGGGAGUUUCACGGUGAAGGAGCCGGCGCCGGAGGACAGCGGGCUGUAUUUCUGCGCCGCCGCCAGUCACAGUGACUCAGAGUCACGCCGGGGCUGUGCAAAAACUCCCCCCGGAGCGCGCGCUGUGUAC